CAAAACCAGAACUGCCAUGCCCAUUCCACAAACAGACACUAGUACAGGUACCACGAGGGGCUAUCCUACUUUAGGAACAGUAAAGGACGAUCCCUUGUUCUGCACUGCAGAAAGAUCACAAAAACAAAUAACAAGUAACAGGUCUAACAUAGUCGCCACCAACGCGACCUGCAGGCAGGUCCAACGACCCCCACAGCAAAGACGGUCAAAUCUCGGGUGGCUUUCCCAGUGAACAGUUGCAUCUCUCCCGGCCGCAAACAGUAUCAUCCUUCAGUGUCUUCCCCUUCGUCAACCUCCUCGCAGUAACCUUCUCACCAGUAACCCAAACCCAGAACCGAGAUUUCGAGCAAUAGAGCCGUCAGAUCUCAGUCCCGGAGUGCUUCCCAAAACCACCAGAGGUUUCAACCACCUUAACGGCUUCAGUACUCGGGUUGGCGGUCGUUCCUCCAGUUCCCAGAGCUGGGUCCUCCACGGCCACCGUAGCCGCCACCACCACCGCCUCCGUAGCCUCCACCACGGCUUCCUCCAUAACCACUACCUUCACGGUCACCUCCUCCACGGCUUCCACCGUAACCUCCUCCAUAGCCACCUCCUCCUUGCUCUCUGCGGCCGUAGCCACCACCGCCGCCACCGCCACCACCGCCUCCACCACGAGACUGGGCUUGGUUGACGGUGAUGUUGCGACCGUCCAACUCCUGGCCGUUCAUCUCCUUGAUGGCAGCGUUCAUUGAGUUCUCAUCGGCGAAAGUAACAAACCCAAACCCGCGAGACCUUCCGGUCUCCCUGUCAGAGAUCACCUUACUCUGCACAACCUCGCCGAAGGGACGGAACGCACCCUCCAGGCGGCCGUCGGUAGUGGCCCAGGCCAACCCUCCGACAAAGCACCUGAAUUCUUCUCCACCGGCCAUCUUGGUAGAGUGAAAGCUGCGGAACAAGAAACAAGUCACAAGAGACCAGUAAAGUAACAAGAGGCGCAGGGAAGAAG
rnacentral:lncRNA from 1 species